rnacentral:rRNA from 1 species
UUGGAGGAUGUAUAGCGAUAGCUAAUUGCAUCGAAAAUAUGAUGCAAGAUCGAUUUAUUGAAUAAAAUUCUGGGUAGAAUUAUGAUUAUGACAUUGUCUACCCAUGUGUCUUGACCAAAUUACGUGCCAGCAGUCGCGGUAAUACGUAGAAGACUAGUGUUAUUCAUCUUUAAUAGGUUUAAAGGGUACCUAGACGGUAAAUCAAGCCCUAGACGGGACUAAUUUGCUAGAGUUACUUGUGAGGGGGUUUUAAAGUACUAAUGGUGUAGAGAUGAAAUUUUGUAAUACCAUUUUUCGAAAGGAAAGUAAUGGCACAGGUAUAGGCGAAAGCAUCCCCUUAUGUGAUAACUGACGUUGAAGGACGAAGGCUUUGAGUCGCGAACAGGAUUAGAUACCCUGGUAGUCAAAGCAGAAAAUAAUGAGUGUCAUAGAUUAGAUAUUAAAGUUUAUUCUAUAAAUGAAAGUGUAAGCACUCCACCUCAAGAGUAAUUUGGCAACAUUGGAACUGAAAUCAUUAGACCGUUUCUGAAACCAGUAGUGAAGUAUGUUGUUUAAUUUGAUAAUCCGCAAAAAACCUUACCACAAUUUGAAUAUUUAUAUCGUUGAUAUAAUUACAAGCGUUGCACGGCUGUCUUCAGUUAAUGUCGUGAGAUUUUGGUUAGAUCCAUUAAAUUAACGCAAGCCCUUACUUUAUUUUAAAAUAAAGUCGUUCCCCACUAGAUUGGAUAAGAUAACAGGGAUUAAGACAAGUCAUCAUGGCCUGAAUAUUGUGGGC